rnacentral:rRNA from 1 species
CCCUUAGAUGUCCUGGGCCGCACGCGCGCUACACUGAACGGAUCAGCGCGUUUUCCCUUCCCGAGAGGGACGGGUAACCUGCUGAACCCCGUUCGUGGUAGGGAUCGGGGCUUGCAAUUAUUCCCCGUGAACCAGGAAUGCCCAGUAAGUGCAAGUCAUAAGCUUGCGUUGAUUACGUCCCUGCCCUUUGUACACACCGCCCGUCGCUACUACCGAUUGAACGUUUUAGUGAGGUACUCGGACUGAGCCUCAGAAGAUUCACGUCUUUUGUGCUGCUCGGGUAGAUUCCCAAACUUGAGCGUUUAGAGGAAGUAAAAGUCGUAACA